GAUGAACGCUGGCGGCGUGCCUAAUACAUGCAAGUCGAGCGAACGGACGAGAAGCUUGCUUCUCUGAUGUUAGCGGCGGACGGGUGAGUAACACGUGGAUAACCUACCUAUAAGACUGGGAUAACUUCGGGAAACCGUAGCUAAUACCGGAUAAUAUUUUGAACCGCAUGGUUCAAAAGUGAAAGACGGUCUUGCUGUCACUUAUAGAUGGAUCCGCGCUGCAUUAGCUAGUUGGUAAGGUAACGGCUUACCAAGGCAACGAUGCAUAGCCUACCUGAGAGGUUGAUCGGCCACACUGGAACUGGAACACGGGCCAGACUCCUACGGGGGGCAGCAGUAGGGAAUCUUCCGCAAUAGGCGAAAGCCUGACGGAGCAACGCCGCGUGAGUGAUGAAGGUCUUCGGAUCGUAAAACUCUGUUAUUAGGGAAGAACAUAUGUGUAAGUAACUGUGCACAUCUUGACGGUACCUAAUCAGAAAGCCACGGCUAACUACGUG
rnacentral:rRNA from 1 species